rnacentral:rRNA from 1 species
AUUCCAGCUCCAAUAGCGUAUAUUAAAGUUGUUGCAGUUAAAAAGCUCGUAGUUGGAGUUCAGAGUGAGCUCAAUCGGUCGGGAUUAUGUCUCAGAACUGGUUGACUCUCUCUUGUUUGUGGAUCCUGUUCGGAGUUAACUCUUCGGAUGUGGAGUCCACAUCGUUUACCUUGAAAGAAUUAGAGUGUUCAAAGCAGGCGUUUGCUUGAAUAUAUUAGCAUGGAAUAAUGGAAUAGGACGCUGGUUCUAUUUUGUUGGUUUUGAGAACCAGAGUAAUGAUUAAUAGGGACAGUUGGGGGCAUUCAUAUUUCAUUGUCAGAGGUGAAAUUCUUGGAUUUAUGAAAGAUGAACUUCUGCGAAAGCAUUUGCCGAGGAUGUUUUCAUCA